rnacentral:rRNA from 1 species
GAAGGUCCUACGGAUUGUAAACUUCUUUUAUAAGGGAAUAAAACCUCCCACGUGUGGGAGCUUGUAUGUACCUUAUGAAUAAGCAUCGGCUAACUCCGUGCCAGCAGCCGCGGUAAUACGGAGGAUGCGAGCGUUAUCCGGAUUUAUUGGGUUUAAAGGGAGCGCAGACGGGUCGUUAAGUCAGCUGUGAAAGUUUGGGGCUCAACCUUAAAAUUGCAGUUGAUACUGGCGUCCUUGAGUGCGGUUGAGGUGUGCGGAAUUCGUGGUGUAGCGGUGAAAUGCUUAGAUAUCACGAAGAACUCCGAUUGCGAAGGCAGCACACUAAGCCGUAACUGACGUUCAUGCUCGAAAGUGUGGGUAUCAAACAGG